ACUCUUGUUUAUUUUGAAGGAUUAGAAUUGCAAUCAGUGUAUCCUGCGUGGGAAUCGGAAAAUUGCAGAGGAGCAAGUGCCACGGCUGUAGCUCGUAGUCAUAGGCAAAGUUACUUGGUUGAUUUGUUGUAUCAAUUUGGCAAAAAGGUAUGGACCGUAAAUGGAUGUUUGCUAAUCGCUUAUCCGAUGAAUAUGCUGCCGGGGUGAAAGAGUUUGUUAAAUUUGCGGUUCAAAAUGCAAAGAACCCAAAUAGUUUGCUAUGCCCUUGUUUAGUUUGUUUGCAUGGUAUUCGAGUUAAUCCACUUGAAUUAGAAGAUCAUCUAAUUUGCAAGGGAAUUGAUAAAAACUAUAUAUGUUGGUCAAAUCAUGGCGAGUCCAGAUUUGAUUAUAGUGAUGCAGCAGAUAGUGUGAGAUCUACCUCAUUUGGAGCAGAGGAAGAUGCAUGUGAUGGUGACCGUGUUGAGGAAAUGGCGAAGGCGGUUGAAGAUGAUCUUCGUGAUUGUCCUCAAAUGUUUGAGAGGCUGAAAAAUGAUGCGGGGACAUCUCUUUAUAAUGGAUGCUCUAAAUUCACAAGACUAUCUGCGGUCUUUAUAUGAGGUUCUUAUUUGAUCACUGUGUGGCUGAAAACUUGAGUGAGAAAUUUGCCUUUUUGAGUCCUCAUCGAACGGCACAUGGGCUGACCAAUCAAAGCCAAUAUAUUUCGGAUGCAAUUAUGGCAAAUGCACACCCAAACCAAUUAUAUCUUGCACCGGUCAAU